GACAGAGGGUGCAAACGUUGCUCGGAAUCACUGGGCGUAAAGGGCGUGUAGGCGGGAAGGAAAGUCGGGCGUGAAAUCCCACGGCUCAACCGUGGAAGUGCACUCGAAACUGCAUAGCUAGAGUCCUGGAGAGGAAGGUGGAAUGCUUGGUGUAGAGGUGAAAUGCGCAGAUAUCAGGAGGAACACCAAUUGCGAAGGCAGCUCGCUGGGACGUAACUGACGCUGAGACGCGAAAGCGUGGGGAGCAAACAGG
rnacentral:rRNA from 1 species